rnacentral:rRNA from 1 species
UGAGGAAUAUUGCGCAAUGGGCGAAAGCCUGACGCAGCGACGCCGCGUGGAGGAUGAAGGUCUUUGGAUUGUAAACUUCUGUUAAGUGGGAAGAAAAAACUGUUUCUAAUACAAACGGGAAAUGACGGUACCACUAAAGAAAGCACCGGCUAACUUCGUGCCAGCAGCCGCGGUAAUACGAAGGGUGCAAGCGUUAUUCGGAUUUAUUGGGUGUAAAGGGUGCGUAGACGGCAUAUUAAGUCCGCUGUUAAAUUUCCCGGCCUAACUGGGAGCCAGCGGUGGAUACUGAUGUGCUAGAGGAUGGAAGAGAGAAGUGGAAUUCCCGGAGUAGCGGUAAAAUGCGUAGAUCUCGGGAGGAACACCAAUGGCGAAGGCAGCUUCUUGGUCCAUAUCUGACGUUGAGGCACGAAAGCGUGGGGAGCAAACA